CCCCCACGGGACGCAGCAGUGAGGAAUAUUGGUCAAUGGGCGGAGGCCUGAACCGGCCAAGUCGCGUGAGGGAAUAAGGCCCUACGGGUCGUAAACCUCUUUUGCCGGGGAGCAAGGGCCGGGACGCGUCCCGGCCCGGAGAGUACCCGGAGAAAAAGCAUCGGCUAACUCCGUGCCAGCAGCCGCGGUAAUACGGAGGAUGCGAGCGUUAUCCGGAUUUAUUGGGUUUAAAGGGUGCGUAGGCGGGCUUUUAAGUCAGCGGUAAAAAUUCGGGGCUCAACCCCGUCCGGCCGUUGAAACCGGGG
rnacentral:rRNA from 1 species